rnacentral:rRNA from 1 species
AAGCGGAGGAAAAGAAACUAACAAGGAUUCCCCUAGUAACGGCGAGUGAAGCGGGAAGAGCUCAAAUUGAAAUCUGGUGGCCUCAGGUCAUCCGAGUUGUAAUCUAUAGAAGUGUUUUCCGUGCUGGCUCAUGUACAAGUCCCUUGGAACAGGGCGUCAUAGAGGGUGAGAAUCCCGUCCUUGACAUGAACUACCAGUGCUCUGUGAUACAUUUUCAACGAGUCGAGUUGUUUGGGAAUGCAGCUCAAAAUGGGUGGUAAAUUCCAUCUAAAGCUAAAUAUUGGCGAGAGACCGAUAGCGAACAAGUACCGUGAGGGAAAGAUGAAAAGCACUUUGGAAAGAGAGUUAAACAGUAUGUGAAAUUGUUGAAAGGGAAACGAUUGAAGUCAGUCGUGCUCUUUGGAUUCAGCCGGUUCUGCCGGUGUACUUCCUUUGAGUGGGGUCAACAUCAGUUUUGAUCGCUGGAUAAAGGCUGGAGGAACGUAGUACCCUCGGGUAAACUUAUAGCCUCCUGUCACAUACAGUGGUUGGGACUGAGGAACGCAGCACGCCUUUAUGGCCGGGAU